GACGACCGCUGGCGGCGUGCUUAACACAUGCAAGUCGAACGGAAAGGCCCUGCUUUUGUGGGGUGCUCGAGUGGCGAACGGGUGAGUAACACGUGAGUAACCUGCCCUUGACUUUGGGAUAACUUCAGGAAACUGGGGCUAAUACCGGAUAGGAGCUCCUGCUGCAUGGUGGGGGUUGGAAAGUUUCGGCGGUUGGGGAUGGACUCGCGGCUUAUCAGCUUGUUGGUGGGGUAGUGGCUUACCAAGGCUUUGACGGGUAGCCGGCCUGAGAGGGUGACCGGCCACAUUGGGACUGAGAUACGGCCCAGACUCCUACGGGAGGCAGCAGUGGGGAAUAUUGCACAAUGGGCGGACGCCUGAUGCAGCAACGCCGCGUGCGGGAUGACGGCCUUCGGGUUGUAAACCGCUUUCGCCUGUGACGAAGCGCGAGUGACGGUAAUGGGUAAAGAAGCACCGGCUAACUACGUG
rnacentral:rRNA from 1 species